CGCCGCGAACCACAAACAGAGGAGAAAGAUAGAGACGCUUUCGCGAGGGAGCUGCCACCGUGGAGGAGCCGUCGCCGCCAAAUCUGCCGCUGCCGAAGCUCUACGCCGCCUAUGCCACCGAAAACCGCCACUGAAGUCCUUUUUUCCUGGGGUUGAGUUGUGGUUCUUGCAUGCUGAGUGCAGUACCCGUGCAUGCGACAUCAGGUUACUGCGUCGUCAACGGAGUCGUCGUCAUUCUUUUUUUUGGAUGCUCGUUGAGUUCAGUUCUCAUGUGCCGUGGUUAAAGUUGUUGUGCUUGCUAUGAAAGAAAUCAGGGCUGAGGCCUAAGUUGCCGUUGAUUUCGGGCUGAGCAAAAAGAGGUCAGUUGACACGUGUGGGUUAUGGUUUUGCUUAUCAAGGUAUUUUCUGGCUGAAAUUGAGGGACUUGAGUAAAAAUCUGAUUCAGAGGCUGAAAAAGGACUGCAGAUGCUGUUGGAUUCUGACCUCCCUGCACUUGAAGUAUAUUUUCUAGAGCUAUAAAACUCUAAAUAGCGCGCUCUCAAUUGCGUUGGAAAGUAGACAUCCAGGACUUUUCAGCAAUAUAUAAUAGUUCAUACUUUGCUUGAGUUUUGACGACGCAAACUGGUGUUCAAACGCCCACUCUCUGCCCUAUUCUGAAGUUAAACGCCAGAAACAAGUUACAAAUUAGAGUUAAACGCCAGAAAUAGGUUACAACCUAGCGUUUAACUCCAAAAGAAGUCUCUACACAUGAAAGCUUCAAUGCUCAGCCCAAGCACACACCAAGUGGGCCCGGAAGUGGAUUUCUGCAUCAUUUACCUUUUUCUGUAAACCUUAGUAGCUAGUUUCAUUAUAAUUAGGACCUCUUACUAUUGUAUUUUCAUUUUCUGGAUGAUAUAUUUUCAUAUUUGGGGAGGCUGGCCAUUCGGCCAUGCCUAGACCUCCAGAUCACUUAUGUAUUUUCAACGGUGGAGUUUCUACACACCAUAGAUUAAGGGUGUGGAGCUCUGCUGUUCCUCGAGUAUUAAUGCAAUUACUACUAUUUUCCAUUCAA